rnacentral:rRNA from 1 species
UGGGGAAUUUUGGACAAUGGGCGAAAGCCUGAUCCAGCAAUGCCGCGUGCAGGAUGAAGGCCUUCGGGUUGUAAACUGCUUUUGUACGGAACGAAAAGCUUUGGGUUAAUACCCUGGAGUCAUGACGGUACCGUAAGAAUAAGCACCGGCUAACUACGUGCCAGCAGCCGCGGUAAUACGUAGGGUGCAAGCGUUAAUCGGAAUUACUGGGCGUAAAGCGUGCGCAGGCGGUUUUGUAAGACAGAGGUGAAAUCCCCGGGCUCAACCUGGGAACUGCCUUUGUGACUGCAAGGCUAGAGUACGGCAGAGGGGGAUGGAAUUCCGCGUGUAGCAGUGAAAUGCGUAGAUAUGCGGAGGAACACCGAUGGCGAAGGCAAUCCCCUGGGCCUGUACUGACGCUCAUGCACGAAAGCGUGGGGAGCAAACAGG